UGGGGAAUAUUGCACAAUGGGCGCAAGCCUGAUGCAGCCAUGCCGCGUGUAUGAAGAAGGCCUUCGGGUUGUAAAGUACUUUCAGCGAGGAGGAAGGCGGUAAGGUUAAUAACCUUAUCGAUUGACGUUACUCGCAGAAGAAGCACCGGCUAACUCCGUGCCAGCAGCCGCGGUAAUACGGAGGGGGCAAGCGUUAAUCGGAAUUACUGGGCGUAAAGCGCACGCAGGCGGUCUGUCAAGUCGGAUGUGAAAUCCCCGGGCUCAACCUGGGAACUGCAUUCGAAACUGGCAGGCUAGAGUCUUGUAGAGGGGGGUAGAAUUCCAGGUGUAGCGGUGAAAUGCGUAGAGAUCUGGAGGAAUACCGGUGGCGAAGGCGGCCCCCUGGACAAAGACUGACGCUCAGGUGCGAAAGCGUGGGGAGCAAACA
rnacentral:rRNA from 1 species